CCCCUCACUCACAUACGAUCCAAUCUUAUUUCUUAUGCAUAGCAAGACAAAUUUGUCCUCGUCCUGACUUUAUCCCUGUCUCGGCCAUCUAGGUAUGAAUUUGUUUUUAAGUAUAAAUAACUUAACUAAACAAGAAGGAAUAGUUACAUAUAAGUAAGUUUAAUUGUUAAAGUAAACUAAAUAGGUACCAUCUCUAACCAUUUCAGCCCUUAUUCCAGAAUUAAGGAACCCAAAAAAGAUCUUUCAAAAUACAGCUGGGAACUAACCACUCAAUAGAUCAUCUCCAAUAAAUUUUGCGCCUUCCUUCCUGAGAUGGAAAAGAAGAGGCUAUUUUGAGCUGAGACAUUCAUAUCACCAUUACUCGAAGGAAAUAGUAAUUAAGCAGCAUAAUACCUUAUUAAAAAUAUAAAUGCAACACCAAAGAAAUGUCUUUCUUUUUAUAGGAUUUCAAGACGAGAAAUG
rnacentral:lncRNA from 1 species